GCCUGGCCGGCUCAGUCGGUAGAGCGUCUGACUCUUGAUCUGGGGCUUGUGAGUUUGAGCCCCAUGUUGGGUG
rnacentral:tRNA from 1 species